UGAUGGCUGUUCCUCUCAUUGCUUUGAGAUUUGCCAAUGGGAUUUUAGGCCAUCACAGAUCAAAUCUGGUCUUUCUUCACUCAGGGCACCAUUGGAUGGAUGGGCCAUCUGUUAGUGCUUUCUGAAUUUUGCGGGGCCAGACAUAU
ensembl:snoRNA SNORA79B small nucleolar RNA, H/ACA box 79B